rnacentral:rRNA from 1 species
GAUGAACGCUGGCGGCGUGCCUAAUACAUGCAAGUCGAGCGAAUAGACGAGGAGCUUGCUCCUCUGACGUUAGCGGCGGACGGGUGAGUAACACGUGGAUAACCUACCUAUAAGACUGGGAUAACUUCGGGAAACCGGAGCUAAUACCGGAUAACAUGUUGAACCGCAUGGUUCAACAGUGAAAGACGGUCUUGCUGUCACUUAUAGAUGGAUCCGCGCCGCAUUAGCUAGUUGGUAAGGUAACGGCUUACCAAGGCAACGAUGCGUAGCCGACCUGAGAGGGUGAUCGGCCACACUGGAACUGAGACACGGUCCAGACUCCUACGGGAGGCAGCAGUAGGGAAUCUUCCGCAAUGGGCGAAAGCCUGACGGAGCAACGCCGCGUGAGUGAAGAAGGUCUUCGGAUCGUAAAACUCUGUUAUUAGGGAAGAACAAAUGUGUAAGUAACUAUGCACGUCUUGACGGCACCUAAUCAGAAAGCCACGGCUAACUACGUG